AUGGGCGCCGCUGCUAAUAGUAAUCCAUCCUCCAGCUCCUCCUCCUCCUUCUCGUCCUGGGACUCGUUUCCCUCCGACAUGAGCAGCGGAGAGACGGUCGGCGCGGAAACGAGUCCUCGGCCCAAGAAGCGAGCAGCGUCGGCUGCGCCGCCGUACAUAGGCGUGCGCGCGCGGCUCUGGGGGCGGUUCGCCGCGGAGAUCCGUGACUCGACGCGGGGCGGCGCGCGGGUCUGGCUGGGCACCUUCGACACCGCGGAGGACGCUGCGAUGGCAUAUGACCAGGCGGCGCUCUCCUCGCGGGGCACGGCCACGGUGCUCAACUUCCCUCUAGAGCACGUCCAGGAGUCGCUCCAUGCCCUCGGCGCCACGUCCGCGGGCAUGGACGGAUCGCCCGUUCUGGCGCUCAAACGGCGCCACUCCAAAAGAAGAAGGCGCAGCAAGGUCGGGAUUGCGAACGACGCGGCGACGACCAGGAUGAGGAAGAUCAAGACGAUGGCCGUGCAGGAGCGUCCGGCCAUGGAGCUGGAGGACCUCGGCGCCGAAUACCUCGACGAGCUUCUCAGGAUUACCUGUGGUACAACUUACUAA
rnacentral:rRNA from 1 species